UACGUAGGGGGGCGAGCGUUGUCCGGAUUUAUUGGGCGUAAAGAGCGUGUAGGCGGCCAGGUAGGUCUGCUGUGAAAACUCGAGGCUCAACCUCGAGACGUCGGCGGAAACCAUCUGGCUAGAGUCCGGAAGAGGAGAGUGGAAUUCCUGGUGUAGCGGUGAAAUGCGCAGAUAUCAGGAAGAACACCCGUGGCGAAGGCGGCUCUCUGGGACGUGACUGACGCUGAGACGCGAAAGCGUGGGGAGCAAACAGG
rnacentral:rRNA from 1 species